AUACCCUUCAAAUUAAAAUUCCGGAGCGUUUGGUUCCAUUCAUUACAACGACCCAGAUGCUUCGGAAACCCUCUAAAGACAAAGAUGGCGGGAUGGUGAACGUUUAUCGGAAGUGGAACAUUAAGCCCAGUGGCAAGACAUAUCUUUUGGAUGUUGUUUAUUAAGGAAAAGAAUGAGCCUUUAAGAUGACGGAGUUACAACUGUGUAGUCCAGCUUGAAAACGUCCUCAUUGUACAAGAAGAUUGAUUGACAGAUGUUUCCUGAAUUUAAAGGGAAUUGAACAUACAUUGUUUGUUUUUAUAUAAAGAUUGGAUAAAUCUUUUCCUGAGAAGAUGGCAUUAUUGAAUCACCUUUAUGACUGGAACCCAGAAUCUGCAGUAAUUGCAUUGUGUAUGGCACUGCCAUGGGUCAGGAAAAAGGUCGCUAAAUACUCCAUCAACUUUCAUCUUUAUCUCAUCAUCAGAUUUCGACUUUAAGACAUCAGUUGCAGACUAUUGAUUUUCGAUCAUAUUAGCACUCAUAUUCCAUUACCUCUCAUCUUAGAAACAAUCCCAGGAAGGUUUGACAAGAUAUUUGUUUAUUUAAUUCUUUGAUCUGUUCUUUAGGAGAACAUUUAUCAGAGAUUUUCAAAUAGACUGAUUAAAAAUACAUUACUUCUUUGAAUUAAUUAAACUACAUGUAUUUAGUUAUCAACACUGCAAGGUCUUCUCCAGUCAGACACCAUGUCAGUGACCAUUGAGUUAACAUUGGUGUCCGGCCUGAUCGUUAUUAUACUAGGCGGACUGUUCUGUGUGUUUCUAUUCAGACUGAUGGCGUACUUGCUUCAGUUUCUGUUUGGCUUGUUUUUUAAUGUGAAGGAUAAACACGAGGAAAGACAGGAGAACGGUACCAAUGACAGUGAAGCGGAAAAGAAACAGUCAUGAGGGUCAUAAUCCCAAAUUGAUUAAAUGCAAUAUGCAGUUGUGUCUCAAAAGAUAGAUUGGUGUAAGUAGAGUGUCCCAUAAGUGUAUUUCUAACUGGUUCUAUGUUAUUAGGCUUAAUUCCAACUCUGGAGUUGCUUCUAUAUUUGAUAAAACGAAAUGUUACAUACAUGUACAUGUAUUAAAGAAAUAUAUUCAUUUUAGGCAUUAUUUUCACUUUUAAAACAACAUAGCUUGCUUCACUGCUGGGAUUCAACAAAUUUGAUACCAGAUAGGCAGUCUUCUGAUUAUAUAUUACCUUGAUAUGAAUAUACAGAAAAAAAAUAAAUGGCAGGAAAAUUAUUAAUAUAAGUUACAGCAGCUAGUAUACAAUCAAACAUUUGUGGGACACUCUUCUUUAAAACUCUUGAGUUUAAGCAAUAGUGAAAUUCAUAUUGUUUGUUUUAAAGCUUAAUGAGUCAUCAUCGUAGAUUUAGAUUUGAAAAUAUUUUUGUGUUAACUGUUGCAAAACCAUUAUCUCUAAUCUCUAAACAUUAUUAAUAAUUGAAAUUUAAGUUUUUAAUUAGGAUGAUUAUGAAAAAUGUACAAGGUUUACCUGGUACUUUUUACAAUGAUUAGUUGAUAACAUCAUUGUUUAAUUACGAAAUUUAUCAGAAGUAAAAAAUCAACAAGCCUGUAUAUGCUUAUAAUAUAUAUAUAUCCAUACUGCCUAUAAAGCACCUAUAAUAAUGCAAAUUACUUUGAAAGCAAAAUCCCUUUCCCUUACCCAGUAAGCCAAGACGUUUAUGUAUGCAAUUUUUGCAUUGCUUUCGGCUAAACUUUAACUUUGUUAUUUUACCUCUAGUUACAAUAUUCGUAUAAGUAGAGAUAACGAACCGUGGGGCACAAAAGUACUAAUGUAAUAGAAACAAAAGGGUAGUUAUUUGCAUCAAGAUAUUAGAUGUUGAAGAGAAAGAAAUUUUGGUCUAAUUGAUUGAUGUUCUUAAUUACAUUAUAUAUGUAAAUGCUGGACCCGGGGUGAAGGUUACAGGGUUGUUAAAAAUGACAGGGUAGCACAUAUAAAACAGACAGUGUGUGUAUGGGCCUGUGGCUGGUGUUCCUUAUUUUUACAUCAAAUAUAUUUUCUAUAUCAGAAGAUCACAAUUCCACAUAUGUUCUAUUUUUCAUUUGUAACAAACAUCUUAUGGAAGCUGUACCUCUAUCAUUGCAUCUUUCAACCAUCUGUAUCAAUUUUGUCACCAUGUAAGGCCAAAAUGUUAUAUUUAUGCUUCCUGUUGCAUGUAUAUAAAUCAGGUUAGUUAUAUGCAUCUUUUAGAUACUUUUCUUAAGGGUUAUAUAGCCUGUUAUUGGAGGAAAUUGUCAUUAAGAAUUGUCAUAAAAGUUUAUAAUGAGCUUAAAAAGUUGGGGUUUGUAGAAAAUGUGACACAUUCUAGGAAACAUGCCUUUAUUUUUGCCCUAUUGGCUAUAAUCCAGCAUGUCAGUAUGAUACACAAGUGUUUUACAAAAACAAGAGUUGUCAGAAACUAGUGAGUGGAAAGGAUGGAAAAAAGUAAAUUUUAUUGUAUGGCAAUAUGGCAGAACAUGCUACACAUGUUUGUAAUGAUAGAGUCCGAGCCAGGGGAGACAAACCCAAUAUCGGAAUACAUGUAUAUAGGUCUCGCACAACUGAUUCAGCCAAUCAGCUGGUGUGUCCCUGAAGAAAAUGUGUUUCUUAGGUUUGUAGCUAUUUUCUGAGUAAAUGAUACAUGAAAUGGGUAUUUUCUAUAUAGGAGAAUAAAGAGUAGAGUCAUUAGAUUUUGAAAAUCAAAAAUAUACACCCCUGGUAUAAAUAGAAAGAUGUAGGAUUCCAGGUAUAAAAAGGCGUGAAUUCUCUAGGUGGGGGUUCCCCAGUCCACUGUAAAUAUCAGGGUUACUGUCUUCCAAGUACUGUUGUGUUCUUAUAUGCUAUAAACCUAUCCAAUAACAUCAUUUUUCUGGUAGGGAAAUAUUCAAACUUUAAUUUGAUAUAAAUUUCACAACAUUUGAACUUCAAAUGAGCGAUUGAGGGGAUGGAGUCAUUGGUUGUGUGAGACAUAUAUAAGAAAAACUUAGGGAAUUUCCCGCUGGCAGCCGGUGAAGCAGCAGAUUUGAAUCUUUAGGCAAGGGAGACAAUUCCUAUAAUGAUCAUGAUGACAACUUAGAUCACACACUGCCAUAAUAUACAUAUAUACCUAUAUUUGGUGCUCUUUUUACUAUACAAUGUCUAUAGGUUUGAUAGUAUUGUAAUGUUAUAAUAUAUCUUUGCCAGUUGCUAGUUCUGGAAUCUUAUAUCAUUUGAUUUUAAAAUCUUCUUUGACACCAAUUUAGGAUAUCUAUGGCGUACAAAUGUACAUAAUACCUGAUAUUAUAUAUUUUGUACAAUAAUAUCUAUCUGGAUUUUAUAACAAAACACAAGUUACCAACUAAGUUCGUUAAUUUCAAAUGUUGCUAUUAUUGAGUUUGCCAAUAUUAUUCAGAUUUAAGUUUCUUCAAAAACAUACAGUACUAUGGUAAAUUUUUGUCUGACUUUGUAUGGAUGAAUUCAACAUAAAAAACGCUUUGUACUAAUGAAACCUGAAGAUACAAGGUAUAUAUAAUUUCAUGAAUGUAAUUUCAUGAAACUAUUAAAUGUAUGAAAUUAAAAAUGAACAAAGUUCACUAAAGCACUUUGUACAAUUAAUUUAAUUUAUAGAUAAUGUAAUUUACUAAGUAUUUGCAGCAAGCAAUUUUAUACUGUAUGUGAAUUUAUUUAUUUAUUUGUUUCAAGUUCUUGUGUUGUGACCUUUUAGAGUGCUUGAAUAUGCUUCAGCUCACUGUGCUCAGAAAAUGUUAUGCAUUUUAAAUAAAGUUGUCUUUAACAUCA